rnacentral:rRNA from 1 species
ACGAACGCUGGCGGCAUGCCUAACACAUGCAAGUCGAACGAGACCUUCGGGUCUAGGGGCGCACGGGUGCGUAACGCGUGGGAACCUGCCCUUAGGUUCGGAAUAACUCCCCGAAAGGGGUGCUAAUACCGGAUAAUGUCUUCGGACCAAAGAUUUAUCGCCUUUGGAUGGGCCCGCGUUGGAUUAGCUAGUUGGUAGGGUAAAAGCCUACCAAGGCGACGAUCCAUAGCUGGUCUGAGAGGAUGAUCAGCCACACUGGGACUGAGACACGGCCCAGACUCCUACGGGAGGCAGCAGUGGGGAAUAUUGGACAAUGGGCGAAAGCCUGAUACAGCCAUGCCGCGUGAGUGAUGAAGGCCUUAGGGUUGUAAAGCUCUUUUACCCGGGAUGAUAAUGACAGUACCGGGAGAAUAAGCUCCGGCUAACUCCGUG